rnacentral:misc_RNA from 1 species
GAUGAAGAACGUAGCGAAAUGCGAUACGUAAUGUGAAUUGCAGAAUUCAGUGAAUCAUCGAAUCUUUGAACGCAUAUUGCGCUCUUUGGUAUUCCGAAGAGCAUGCUUGUUUGAGUAUCAGUAAACACCUCAAAGCUUUUGAUUUUUUUCAAAAGUUUUGGACUUGAGCAAUCCCAACACCAGUCUUUUCGGAUCGGUGGCGGGUUGCUUGAAAUGCAGGUGCAGCUGGACAUUCUCCUGAGCUAAAAGCAUAUUUAUUUAGUCCCGUUAAACGGAUUAUUACUUUUGCUGCAGCUAAUAUAAAGGGAGUUUGACCGUAUUGGCUGACUGAUGCAGGAUUUCACAAGGGUCGGAAACGAUUUUUGUAAAACUCGAUCUCAAAUCAAGUAAGACUACCCGCUGAACUUAAGCAUAUCAAUAAGCGGAGGA